AUGCUACCACCAAAUAUGCUCAAUGCUGCAACCGGUGCUAUGCGGAGUCUGCACGAUAGUGUUCUUUCUUUGGAGAAGCGGCGUCUCAGAGAGAAGGAUGUGGCAUACCCGGUUUUCGUGGCCAAGGUGCCAGAGGGCAAGGGCUUUGUGGAUGGCGACAUCGGGGGUACGAUCGUCCUGCGGUUUGAUGACAUCUUUGCUAUGUUUAACCUUCAUCCGCUGCACUACACCUUAGUUCGGCUAUUUUCGCUGAGUAUGGAGAUGCGGAUCAUUCGCAACAAGACCCCGGACAUCGUGAUAGUCGACCCCUUCUACAUGCGUGCCAAGAUCUUGGGCAGCGCUGGGGACCGGCAAGUCGCGAGUUCUUACCUCGAAGGCAUCAUUCUGGCAAACCAAGAUAAGGAUAACUUCCUUGUGCCUUACUUUCCCGAGUAA
rnacentral:rRNA from 1 species